rnacentral:rRNA from 1 species
GACGAACGCUGGCGGCGUGCUUAACACAUGCAAGUCGAACGGAAAGGCCCUGCUUUUGUGGGGUGCUCGAGUGGCGAACGGGUGAGUAACACGUGAGUAACCUGCCCUUGACUUUGGGAUAACUUCAGGAAACUGGGGCUAAUACCGGAUAGGAGCUCCUGCUGCAUGGUGGGGGUUGGAAAGUUUCGGCGGUUGGGGAUGGACUCGCGGCUUAUCAGCUUGUUGGUGGGGUAGUGGCUUACCAAGGCUUUGACGGGUAGCCGGCCUGAGAGGGUGACCGGCCACAUUGGGACUGAGAUGCGGCCCAGACUCCUACGGGAGGCAGCGGUGGGGAAUAUUGCACAAUGGGCGGAAGCCUGAUGCAGCAACGCCGCGUGCGGGAUGACGUCCUUCGGGUUGUAAACCGCUUUCGCCUGUGACGAAGCGUGAGUGACGGUAAUGGGUAAAGAAGCACCGGCUAACUACGUG